rnacentral:lncRNA from 1 species
CUCUCUUCUUCAUAAACUUGUUCUUGGAUCUUAUUCUCUGGUUACUAAGUCUCUCUAAUCUCCCAUACACGUUCCUAAUCUCUUAGUCUCUCCCAUACUCUCUCUGAUUCUCUUAAACUCAUUUCUAUUCUUCAUACUUCAUCAUACACAAAUCUCUCAUCUGUUCUUACAUCACUCAAGCACUUGUACUCUGAAAAUCUCACAUGGUAUCAGAGCCAGGUUGCUCAGACUCCUGGUAGAAGCUUCCGCAACAAACACAAGCUCCAGCCCACGCCAGUUCAGCUCAGUUCACUCAGCUCCCAAGAG